UCUGUUUCCCUGCUUCUGACAUCCAUCAGAUAGAAACGAGAGAACGAACUGAACGGUGGCAAAUUAACACGGCAACGGAUAGAUUCACCCAAAAUUUUUUUCGAGACACUCUGAGGAGCUGGGCUGAGAAAAAGAAAGAAGAUACAUAAACGAGGAUGUGUUCUAUGCAAGCGUGAAACAAUUUUUUUGCAAAUAUUUAACAAGAAAUCAAAGUGUUUUCCAUUUAAAAAAAUAUUGAGAAUAAAAAGUGUUCACAUAAGCCCAGGAAAAAGGGUGUUUGUUGUAAAGUGAUUGUCUAAAGAAAGUGUAUGUGAAUUUUGUUGGGUGUAAUUUGCACUGGACAAAAUCACAAAAAAAUUAAUUAA
rnacentral:sRNA from 1 species